rnacentral:rRNA from 1 species
UAAUACGGGGGGUGCAAGCGUUACUCGGAAUCACUGGGCGUAAAGAGCAUGUAGGCGGAUUGAUAAGUUUGAAGUGAAAUCCUAUAGCUUAACUAUAGAACUGCUUUGAAAACUGUUAAUCUAGAAUGUGGGAGAGGUAGAUGGAAUUUCUGGUGUAGGGGUAAAAUCCGUAGAGAUCAGAAGGAAUACCGAUUGCGAAGGCGAUCUACUGGAACAUUAUUGACGCUGAGAUGCGAAAGCGUGGGGAGCAAACAGG